AUUGAACGCUAGCGGGAUGCCUUACACAUGCAAGUCGAACGGCAGCACGGACUUCGGUCUGGUGGCGAGUGGCGAACGGGUGAGUAAUGUAUCGGAACGUGCCUAGUAGCGGGGGAUAACUACGCGAAAGCGUAGCUAAUACCGCAUACGCCCUACGGGGGAAAGCAGGGGAUCGCAAGACCUUGCACUAUUAGAGCGGCCGAUAUCGGAUUAGCUAGUUGGUGGGGUAACGGCUCACCAAGGCGACGAUCCGUAGCUGGUUUGAGAGGACGACCAGCCACACUGGGACUGAGACACGGCCCAGACUCCUACGGGAGGCAGCAGUGGGGAAUUUUGGACAAUGGGGGAAACCCUGAUCCAGCCAUCCCGCGUGUGCGAUGAAGGCCUUCGGGUUGUAAAGCACUUUUGGCAGGAAAGAAACGUCAUGGGUUAAUACCCCGUGAAACUGACGGUACCUGCAGAAUAAGCACCGGCUAACUACGUGCCAGCAGCCGCGGUAAUACGUAGGGUGCAAGCGUUAAUCGGAAUUACUGGGCGUAAAGCGUGCGCAGGCGGUUCGGAAAGAAAGAUGUGAAAUCCCAGAGCUUAACUUUGGAACUGCAUUUUUAACUACCGAGCUAGAGUGUGUCAGAGGGAGGUGGAAUUCCGCGUGUAGCAGUGAAAUGCGUAGAUAUGCGGAGGAACACCGAUGGCGAAGGCAGCCUCCUGGGAUAACACUGACGCUCAUGCACGAAAGCGUGGGGAGCAAACAGG
rnacentral:rRNA from 1 species